ACCGUGACAGCUAAAAUGGACAUAAAAUUCACGUGUUGCUUUGCUUUGUAAAUGCAAAACACGCGGCCGGUAAUCGUUUUUAUUUUUGUUUAGGCAAAUAUUUGUCUUAAACCUUUUAUUUUUUGUUUACCGGAAUGAUAAAAUGUCGGUGUGCAAUAUGUUGAUGGCACUCAAAGCGGUAGGCGCUGAAACAAAAACCCCAGAAUUAACAAAAUUGUGUGAGGAACUGCAGGAAUCAAUAAGUUCCAACACUUUUGAUAUUAAAAAUGCCGUCACACAGCUAUCAGAAUAUAUUCUUAAAAUCGAUGAUGCAAAACUAUUCAAGAAGUACUUAUCCAGUAUACUUCUUGCAUUGGUGUCUGCUAAGAUACCGCUAAAACCUGUAUUUUCUAACAUUAAUAGUGAAACAUAUAGUGACUCGGAAAAGAAUUGUCACUUAGAAUAUUCAAUUAUACUAGCUGCAUUGAGUGAUCAUCCUGACAUUCUACAAUAUGCAUUGAAAUAUUUUGAAGUCAAUCCUGUACCUCCAUUUGAAGUAUUUAGCCAUCAUGAAGACUCCUAUAAUGUGGCUCCAAAGAAGCGGAGAUUGCUUGACUAUGGGCAAAAAAUUGCUGAAAAGCAAGUCAUUACAUGCUGCUAUACAUUGCUUAAAAAAUUACCAAAUGAAAUGUCUGCAAAAUGGGAUUGGACUAAGUUUAUUGGGACGUACGGUAAUCAUGGACGGGCGGAUGUGCGAUGGAUGAUACGGGAAUGCAUGGCAAUCCUAGCAAACAUGACAGACACACAACAGAUGGUAUUCUCCGUUAAAAUGUUAGUUCAAGAAUAUGAGUGUCAUGAAAUUCUAGAAAAAGGCGUUAUGGACCCGGUCCAUACUAUGGAUGAAAUAGUGAAAGAUGAUCUAAGCCCCAAUGUGGUAAACAUUGACGGUAUACUUUUACCUAUUUUUGAGAAAGAUAACGUCCAAAAAGGAAAUUUAGUUCCAGUGAAAUCUACAGUCAAUAAUCUCAGGAGUUUAGCUUUGGCUGUUGCUUCAGGACAAGCCCUAAGUCUUAUGGGCCCAGUAGGAUCAGGAAAGACUUCUCUCGUGGAACAUUUGGCUGCUAUCACGGGCCGCAAGGGUGUGGCCUUCAAGAAGGUGCAGCUCGGAGACCAAACGGACUCCCGUAUGUUAUUAGGAUCACAUCAAUGUACUGACAUUCCUGGAGAAUUUGUGUGGAGACCUGGUGUUUUGACUGAGGCUGUACAAAAUGGACAUUGGCUCCUCUUAGAGGACAUAGACUGCGCAGCAUUAGAUGUAGCGUCGACCCUCAGUUCCCUUCUAGAAAGAAACGCACUAUGCGUUCCUGGCUAUCGAGAUUCCUUGCCAGUAACGCCAGGCUUUCAACUAUUCGUCACACAACGAACUUUGACAACCAAUUAUGGGUUCCAAAAGAAAAUUUCCAACUCUAGCACAUUGCUUCAAAAGCAUUUGACACAAAUAAACGUGGAGCCUUUAUCACGGUCUGAACUUGCAGAGAUUAUACAAGCUCUGUACCCGGCACUUACAACGAUAUGUUCUAGAAUGAUCGAAGUAUUCAUGAUGUUCUCAGUAGGCAGUCAUGACACAUCCCUUCAAACUACUGAAGUAGUGGAUAGCGAUAAAGAAAAGAAUUUAAUUCUAAUGCGAGGGUCAAGACUGAUAUCGACGAGAGACUUGUUGAAGUGGUGCUCUAGAGCAGUAGUCGGCUUCGACGUGUCCAGUCCUGAGUCAGCACUCAAAGUCCUGCAGGACGCUUUAGAUAUUUUCACCUGUUCCGUGGCUUCAACGGAACACAGACUUGAAUUGUCCAAGAAAAUUGGCUUAUGUCUCGGAAUAGUGGAAGCUAAGUCAGAAUUCUACUGCAAACAUUACAAGCCAAACGUAUCACUGACUGCGAAUUUCUUAGAAGUGGGCAGGUCGAAGGUGCCAAGAGUAGAGAAAAGCUUAGAAACUAUAGAUUUUGAUACGAAACAGACUGUGUUUUCAUUUACGCGACAGUCAGCUUGCUUGCUUGAGCGGAUCGCUUGUUGCGUGACUUCCAAUGAACCUGUCCUGCUGGUUGGUGAGACGGGUACUGGCAAGACUUCAUCAGUGCAGUACAUAGCGAGACAAACCGGGAAUAAACUAGUGGUCAUUAACAUGAACCAACAAUCAGACUCGGCUGAUUUACUCGGAGGGUACAAACCCGUCGACCUAAAAUACGUAAUCCGGCCUAUUAGGCUCUAUUUUGAAGAGCUCUUCCGUGAUUACUAUAAUGUAGACAAGAACAAGAAGUUUUUGGGCCACAUCGAAACCUGUUAUGACACAGAAAAUUGGACUGCUUUAUUGGCGUUGAUGAAGCAGAGUCAGAAAGCGGCAGUUGGCAGGCUGACGAUAGAGAAGUCGGAUAAGCUGAAAGAGUGGGUAGCUCUUGGGGUUAAGCUGCAGAAAUUGGAACAGCAGGUUAAGGCAGCAUCGAAGUUGACCUUCGCUUUUAUCGAAGGGUCUCUAGUCAAAGCGAUGCAAGAAGGCCAUUGGGUUUUGCUGGACGAAAUCAAUUUGGCUUCUGCAGAAAUUUUGGAAUGCUUAGCUGGGCUACUGGAAGAUAAAAGUGAGACCAUUGAUUUAUUGGAAAAAGGGGAUAAGGUGCCCAUAAAGCGGCAUCCUAAUUUCACUCUAUUCGCUUGUAUGAACCCUGCAACUGAUGUGGGUAAAAAGGACUUGCCUGCCGGUCUUAGGAACCGGUUUACGGAGUUCUUUAUUGAUGAGUUGAAUGAGCGCAACGACUUGAUGUUGCUCAUUGGUGACUAUUUGUACCACAUGAAUCUUGGUGGCGGGGUUUUGGAAGCUAUAUACAAUUUCUACGCCAGUAUCAAGAAGGAAGCUAAAUUGAGUCUUGUGGAUGGAUCAGGCAAUACUCCUCAUUAUUCUCUUAGGACAUUAUGCAGAGCUCUAACGGCUGCAGCCAAAGCAAGAUGUGGAACGGUAUCCAGAUCUCUUUACGAAGCGUUCUGCUUAUCCUUCCUUACCCAAUUGGACAGUUCAUCGCAUCCAAAAGUAGAAGCCAUGAUUGCCAAGGCUGUCAUCGGCAAGAAGAAUGUGAAAACAGUUACAAACCAACUCAUUCCCGAACCACAAGUCAAGGGUCAAAAUUAUUUGCUCUUCGAAGGUCACUGGAUCCCUCAGGGCAAAUUAGAAAUAGCUAUCCCAGAAGGAUACAUCCUUACCCCAACAGUUAGAAAGAACCUUCGCGAUAUAGCUCGAAUUAUUUCCCUUGGUCGAUUACCAAUUUUGUUGCAAGGAGACACCUCCGUAGGUAAAACAUCACUCAUCACAUACAUAGCUAAAGCAUCAGGAAAUUAUUGCGUCAGAAUAAAUAACCACGAACAUACUGACCUUCAAGAGUACAUUGGGUCUUACGCCACAGACUCCAAUGGGAAACUAGUCUUCAAAGAAGGCGUUCUAGUCGAAGCCAUGAGGAAAGGAUACUGGAUUAUCCUAGACGAGCUUAAUUUAGCUCCAAGUGACGUUUUAGAGGCUCUAAAUCGAGUCUUAGAUGACAAUAGAGAAUUGUUCAUACCAGAAACCCAACAAGUCGUUAAAGCGGAUCCCAACUUCAUGUUGUUCGCUACCCAAAAUCCUCCAGGAUUGUACGGUGGACGUAAAGCGCUGUCCAGGGCGUUUAGAAACAGAUUUGUUGAGUUACACUUCGACGAGAUACCAAAGAAAGAAUUGGAAACUAUACUGCACCAAAGAUGUCAUGUUCCUCCAGCUUAUAGUAAGAAAAUGAUAGCGGUUAUGGCGGAUCUUCAAAUUAGACGCCGAGGUUCCGCAGCCGUUCAGGGCAAAGACGGAUUCAUCACACUGAGAGACUUGUUCCGAUGGGGCCAACGAUACAAGUGUGCCUCUAAGGAAUCUUUGACUGACGAUAAAUUUUACGAUUGGGAUCAACACAUAGCCGACGAGGGCUACCUCAUCUUAGCUGGAAAAGUUCGACAGACUGACGAAAGAUCCAUUAUUGAGGAAGUGAUAGAGAAACAUAUUAAAAGGAAGGUCAACCCUGACAAUCUUUUUACUCUGCACUCAACCACGUCUCCUGUUACCAAGUCUAUUCUGGAGACUAUUUUAAAUAACCAACUUGAGGAGUUCUCUCACGUUGUCUGGACGUACAAUAUGAGAAGACUUGCGGUCUUAAUAGCAAAGUCAUUCAGUUUCGAUGAGCCAGUCUUGCUGGUCGGUGAAACUGGUUGUGGAAAGACAACAAUAUGUCAAGUGCUGGCAGCUCUGAAAAAAUGUCAGUUACUGACAGUCAACUGCCACAUGCACACGGAAAGCUCAGAUUUCCUAGGAGGCCUCCGUCCUGUACGACAGUACCAAAACGAUGGCAGACUCUUCGAAUGGGUCGAUGGACCAUUGAUCAAGGCUAUGGAGACAGGAAACAUGUUCCUAGCUGAUGAAAUAUCAUUGGCUGAUGACAGUGUAUUGGAGAGAAUGAACUCUUUACUAGAACCUGAAAGGCAGCUAGUACUCGCUGAAAGAGGUAUGGAAAACAAUUCCGACAUCGUUGUCAUCACAGCGAAUAAGAACUUCCACUUUAUCGGAACUAUGAACCCUGGAGGAGAUUUCGGUAAGAAAGAGCUGUCACCCGCUCUUCGUAACCGAUUUACCGAAAUAUGGUGCGAUAGUGUCACAUCCAGGGAAGACUUAUUGAAAGUACUCGAAAAGAGUGUUAACAAAGGAGUAUCGCUUGGCAACCAAGAAGAUGGUAGCUCAGGCAUAGGUACUUCGAUCCUAAACUUCACCGAUUGGUUGAAGAACUCUGAAGUGACGAACAAAUUCCCAUUCAGUAUCCGUGAUCUACUCUCGUGGGUCAACUUCAUUAAUAUAACAGUUGCCAAAGGUCUUUUGGACACUCCAGAAGCGUAUGUCCACGGCGCUUGUAUGACAUUCUUGGACUGUUUCGGAACAGCGCUAACGGGACACAUUGAUUCCGAAACACUAGUUUUACUUCGGAAAAAUGCUAUCAAUUUAUUGUUGGAACAAAUAAAAUCAAGUGGAAGUGAAUACAUGGAAGGUUUGCGAGAAAUGUUGAGUAACAAACAGACUAAGUUUGUGGCGGAGAGUGGUCCUGAGAAGUUUGGGAUCAAGCCAUUUUAUAUUGAAGUUGGUCAAGGAAGUACUGAGGGCGAACAAAACUUCACGUUCACGGCUCCAACGACUGGUGCCAAUACUUUGAGACUGUUGCGUGGGCUGCAGCUGAAUAAAGCCAUACUGCUUGAAGGAAACCCAGGAGUUGGAAAGACAAGUUUAGUGACUGCACUUGCAAAAUCUUCCGGCCACAAAGUUGUUCGGAUCAAUUUGAGUGACCAAACUGAUAUAACAGACUUAUUCGGAACGGACCUCCCAACAGAAGAUGGAUCUUUCAUGUUCAAAGAAGGUGCAUUCUUGAGCGCGCUGCAAAAUGGUGACUGGAUUCUUUUGGACGAGUUGAAUUUGGCUCCACAACCAGUGCUCGAAGGUCUUAAUGCUUGCUUGGAUCACCGAGGUGAAGUAUUCAUUCCUGAACUUGGUAGAACCUUCAAGGUCAAAGAGCAGACCAGACUAUUCGCCUGCCAAAAUCCUUUGAAGCAAGGAGGAGCGCGCAGAGGUCUACCCGUUUCCUUCUUGAACCGAUUUACUCAAGUUUAUAUCGAUACAUUGACUAAAGAAGACUUGAUAUACAUUGUGGAGUCACAGUAUUCAGCUAUACCCAAAGACAUUCUACACAAGAUAGUAGAAUUCAACUGCAAAGUAGCUCAUGAAGUGACGGAGAUUCAGUCUUGGGGCCACAGAGGAGCUCCUUGGGAAAUGAACUUGAGAGACAUACAGAGGUGGUGCGAGGCCAUCAUAUUGGACGAGAAAGAACGAGAAAUCCUUUCCCCUGGAAAAUUCGUCGAUAUGCUCUACGUGAACCGUAUGAGAACACAGGAAGAUAAGGAGAAAAUGAUCGAAGCCUAUAAUAAAAUAUUCCUUCCUGACUACCCGAGAAGUGAUCCCAAUCCACAGUUCUAUGUCAGCCUUCCAACUGUAGUGUUUGGAGACGUAAUCUUAAACAGGAAAGAUCAGAAAGAGUUCAAAAACCGUCGAUCUUUUGACACGAAUUUGCUUGUGCUUAGAAGUCAAAUGCCGAUAUUGAAAGCGGUGGCCCAAAGCAUCAAGAUGAAUUGGUUGACAAUUCUAGUUGGACCUUCAGCCACAGGCAAAAGCAGUAUUGUGCAAGUACUUGCAGACUUGACAGGGAACGAACUGCAAGUCAUACCAGUGACAUCGGCAAUGGACGUUUCAGAUCUCCUCGGUGGUUUCGAACAAGUCGAUUUCAACAGAAAUCUAGAGAACUUGUUCGAAAAAAUUGAGACUCUAACGUUACAAACGAUUAGAAACAUGUGGAUAAUGCAAAGAGCAUUUGAAUGGAAAAAUAAUCUUCUGAUAACUGAACUGCAUGAGUACCAAAAAUUGAACAAGACUACCAGUAAUGAAAUAUCGGAAGAGAAUACAGCAAAGUUCAACCAAAAGAUUGAGUUCCUUCUUGCUCAUUGCGAGAAAUUGAUACAAAACAAUGAGCGUCAAGAACAAGUUCUCAAGAGAUUAAAUGACAUCGUGAAUAGUUUGAAGAAGCUGCAGAACAAAGUAUCACAGGCAUCAUCAGUAAAUGCUGGUGGAAAGUUCGAGUUCGUGGACUCUUUGCUUGUGAAGACCAUGCUAGAAGGUUCAUGGUUGCUCCUGGACAACGUGAAUCUUACGUCUGCAGCCGUUCUUGAUAGAUUGAACGGUUUAUUGGAACCGAAUGGAGUACUAAGCAUUCCCGAAAGGGGAGAAUUUAGCGAAAUAAAACCUCAUCCAAAUUUCCGUGUGUUUUUCACUAUGGAUCCGAAGUACGGUGAGAUCUCAAGGGCUAUGAGGAACCGAGGGGUGGAGAUAUCUCUUCUAAGACCAGAUGAGAUGCAGAAUUCGUAUGUAUCUGAAACUGAGAACUUAUUUGAUUUGAGGGCUUUACUCUCUUCAAGUGGACUGCCUACUAAAUACCAUGACGUGUGCAUUAAAUGCCACGAGCUGAUGCAGACGUUUGUUGAAGGUCUCGAUCGUCCAACCAUUUCGCAUCUCUUACAAGCGGCUCACCUGACGUGGCAACAGUUACUCCGUGGUAUUUCUGCCACCACUGCCAUCAUCAGCAGCUUCUCAGACGUGUACAUCAAACCACGAUGCGGCGCCGAUUUUGCAUCCAACGUGAACGCUUCACUCGCAGAAAUGAAGAACUCCAUGUUGAAGGCCUUGGAAGAAAAGGUAAAUGGAAACAAAAUCGAUGAAAAGGCUAUCGUACACGCAGAUACAUUCCACACUACUGGAGUAAAAGGUUUCUGUAGAAACACUCCAGUUGAAAUCGCCAAACAGCUCUGCUAUAUUGCUGUGCAAGAAACUAAGAAUUCCACUAUAGAAUCACCACUACACGUCAUGUUUGGUUUGUACUCAGUGUACCAACGAGUGCAUCCGACUUAUUUCACUUCCACCUAUGGCAUCAUCAACAAUAUCUUGAAGAAACAGUGCCGUGGUACUGACGCUGAGUACGUCGAGACAAUGAAUGACAUAUGCUUUGAAAUGUACAAGUUCUACGGAGAGUUACAAGCGUAUAAAAAGUACUACCCAGAAUUAUACAGUUUGGAGGACCGGGAAAUACGUAUGGGUAACAGAGAGGGACUCACGUUGUACAAUAAUCUGAUCACUUACUACUUGAAGAUCUCUGCACCUGAGGGAAUAUUUACUGUUGCUAAUUAUUCCAACGCUGUAAUGGAAGGGAAGUUAACAGACGAUUUUCCAGAAUACCCGAUACUAAAGUUCUGCCAAAGAUAUCUCGCUAUUCUUGACGAGUUCAUCUCAAUAGGCAUAAACAGAAGUAAUUUGGAUGACGAAACAGCUUGCAAUAUGUUCCAACUUCUGAGCUGGAGGGAGAGGUUCUUUAGGACGGCUCAUGAACAGAUCUUUGCAGAAAGCGGUGAAGCCAGUCGGCGCAAAGUGUUGAGAGAAGACAUUGUCCCUCUACUGUACGCACAUAGCAAAUGGGUCCAAAAACAUUUGAUACAUCCUUUACUAAAACUGUCAGGCCGUGAGAACUUGCUCAGACGUUUCAAUGACUCGUCAGCGGUGAUAGCAAUGUCUAUUGAAGAAGACAAUACGGAAUACACGAAGUUGAGCAAGAAACUGCGCAAGUCAUACGGCCAACCGAAAUUGUUGGAUAACCAGGCAGAGUAUGAGGCUUGUAUGGAAAGGACUAAGAUCUACAACAAAGUCUCUUUGGACCUAAACCAACCAAUUUCGAAACAACUGCAUAGACUAUCAGCUGACAAUUAUGCUGUAACGGACAUGACAUUGGCUUUAGACGUGCCGGAUAGCGAAAAGCUAAAAACAAUUCAGAAUAACCUUGAGCAAGUUGAGAGCAAGGCCAUUGAGAAGCCAGGAUCUCACGUCAAGAUACUUCCAAUCAUCUCCUAUGUGGUCCAAAGGGUCCUGACCAUCCUACAAAGAGAUUUCCUCAACGUUUUGACGGAGAUAUCAAAGAAUGGAGACAUAGUGACUGUUAGUAUUGAGAGCUCGGAAGUGCUGGCCAGUUUGGUCGCCUUGGGCAAGGUGACCAAAGGAUUCCCUCAGGCUUUGUUGAAUCUGAUGGAAGUAUUGUUGAAGCUUCAGAAUGAUGAUGGCAGUGUGCUUUGUGAGAGGAUAUCAUCACUGCCAAUAAAAUUCUGGGACGAGUAUUACAAGGCCGUGGUCUAUUCUCCUGCCUUCUACCCCGCCCCGUUCUUCACUCCUUACGACCCCACCAGUUCAGAAGAUGUAGUGGAAGAGAUUCCAGUGAACAGCAAGAGAUUGUCCAAUAAUCUACCUCUGCUUCCGUAUUACAUGCAGAAGUUUACCGUGUCUUCUGAUAAUCCUGAGUCGCGUCACUUGUUGGCGUAUGAAGCUGUGUCGAUGGAGGAUAGAACAAACUACUCCAUGCAACUGGGAACUGUGUUGAAUGUCCUGUGGAAGAAUAUUGCCACACUGGAUUGUGCAGUAUCGAUCAAGUUGGUAUCAGACGCGAAAUUCGAAAUGAAGAAAUACGAGCAACUCAUAACCUUCUUAUACUCAGCUCUCGAACUAAAGAACGAAACGAAAACGUUCGAGGAGAAACGUUUCAACGUCACCGAAAACGUUCGAGCGCGAUACAGACACACAAACUUCGACGACAUACUAAUCGAAGCGAACAUAGCGUACGAUGGACUUUUAACCUUAUUGAACAAGAAUACAGACGAAUUACGAAUGAAAAUGAUCACCACACAGUUAUCAGUACAUACAAGUGUUUUAACAACGAAGAUUUUGUCUGAAAUCGUUCCGAUGGACCGUGUAGCCAAAUAUAGACUUAAAGUCAAGUACAUAGAGGAGGAUAUUAAAAUGUUUGAUGCUUUGUUAAGCGUUUAUUACUUCCACGGUAUAGUGACAGGUUCCAUUGACUAUUAUGGCGGUGUAGACAGGCCUUCCCAAGUCACUUUUAACAAAUUAAGCAAAGAAAGCGGUUUGUUAAAAGUGCACCCACAUUGCCGCACUAUUAUGGAGCUCCGACAAAGGACGGUUGAUAAAGUUAACAAGUAUAAGCUUGGUAAUACUUUCAGACCUGAAGAGCCGAAGUAUUUGAGUUUUGCUAACGACUGCAAACACUUCACAAAAUCAGUUCUAUCUUCAAAAACAACACAUGACAUUACAAUCAACCUGAUAAACGCAAGCAAAGAGCUGUACGGAGUCAUAGUUACCAACAGCACGAACAAAACAGUGCUGCAAACCGCACAGAGAGUCAUCAAAGAAACUUCUUCAUGGCUGUAUUCCGUCAACGCGUUUUAUAAGAAAAUAGAGACUUAUUCCGAAGCUAUGCCAGACUUAGCAAAGCCUUUGCAAAGUUCCAUAUCGCAGCUCGUUUUUAGUAUAACCUCUUUGAACGAUUUGACUAAGGAAUUGUUAGUUAAGAUCGAACAAGGUACAUUGUUAAAGGAGGCUGUACAUGAUUUGAUGGUGUUCCCCAAUGAUAUACCUAAUAUUGGCGGUAGGGAGGCGCAUUUGAACAGGUUUUUGUCCAUGAAUUUCAGUCAGUUGUUGGCUAGAAAUGUCAUGGGUGCUAGCGAAGAGACGCAUCCUGCUGAAGUGGAGGUUGUUCAGGUGUUGAAAAUGAACCUACUGGAGAUACGCAUGCACUGCACAGCGCUAGACAAGAUCGACAGAAUAUCUAUGGAAUCCAUUCUGACUACACUCAACGCGCUCGUGAAGGCGUGGGAGCAACAACAGAGGGAAAUCGAGAAGAAAAAGCAGGAUGAAGAAGCUUUAUAUGUUACUAAAUCAAAAUGCGAAGACGAAGAUGAAGAAGCGAUGGCCUUAGAAGAAAUGAUGGAGAUGUUCCCAUCUUACUCUGACCAGGACUUCGCAGAGUUUAAACCGCCAACCCUCGAACAAGUACCAGUAAAGACCCCAAAAACAGAGAAACCCAAACAAAAACUCCUUAUAACACCUGAAGAUAUUUCCCUAGUAUACAAAUGGCAUUCCAAUUUAGUCCGUAACAUGACGUCAGCGGAUUGGUUACCCGACCGAAAGAAGUUGGUCGGUAAUGACGUCGUCAGUCCGUUCUUGGAAAGGUAUCCCACAUUUAGCCGGCUUAUAAAUAACGCGUGGGACGCUUUGGAUGCCGAGUUUGAAGGGAAGAUAUCGCCGAGUUUGAUGGUCCUUAUUGCUCAGAUUAAGGAUAAGGUUGAUGGGGAAGAUUCUUCAAGUAAGGUAGACUUCUACAGAUCCGCGUGGGUCUCGGAAACCAAGCAGUGUGUGCCACUGUUACACCGGGUGAAAGAGAACACCAAUGAACUGCUUGAUCAAUGGCCAGACUUCCCUACUUUGAAGGAGAUCAUAGUAAUAGUAAACAGAAUCCUCAGUUUCCCGGUAACAAGUCCGGUGAGUCGGUUCCUGACGGGACUAGAGUUGCUCCGGGAUAAAAUAGAGGAGUGGAACAAAAACGCCCAUAAAGGCAACAAUAUGAUCGAAGUGUCUCUGGCUGUCGGACAACAGAUUAUAAAUUGGAGGAAACUAGAGAUGGCGCACUGGAAGGAGUGUCUUAAUAAUCUGUAUAAUAGGAAACAAUCCGAAGCACAUAAGUACUGGUUCUACCUCUAUUCCGUCAUCAGUUCAUACCUAGACACGACAACGGAACCCGUACCGGCCGAUAGAGUCAUUACAGUGCUCAAAGACUUCAUGGAAAAAUCGAACUUAGCAGAGUACGAAAUAAGGUUGGAUAUCAUAUUCGUGUACCAUUGUCACUUGGUGCAUUUGGAACCUUCGGAGAGGAGAGACGAACUCCUAGCAGUCCUAUGGAACACAUACAACUACUAUGCGCAAUUCAGCGCACAAGUUGCCGCCCACAUUAAAGAGAAGCGCGCUCCCAUUGAGAAGAAAUUGCGCGACUUUGUGAAGAUAUGCACUUGGGACCGAGACCUUAGUUACUGGAGUGUUAAAGACACUGUUGAAAAGGCCCAUAAAGCUCUCCAUAAACAUACUAAGGAGUUUGAGAACGUUCUAAAAGAAAGCGUGACGAGCUGUAUAGUGGACAAUUCGACGGAAGUGGUAGGCGACCACGUGGGUAUCUGGGACCGACCGAAGCGUACCACGACGGCUAACGCCCCCACGGGCGGCGCCUACAUGAUCGACGUGCAGAACUACAUGCUCGUCUGCAGGAAUAUUAAGCGAUACAUAUCUGUAUUGGAGCAGCCUAGCAAAUUGAUAGCAGAUGGGAGCCUGUUGCUAAGGAUUGCAAGUUUGUUGGACAAAACCAAGGCUUUAUGCAAGGAUACUAUUACGAAUACUGGAUACCCAUCGCUGGUGCAGGCUUUGGACGAUUUUGUUACCAUCGUUAUUGAGACCAGCCAACAUCUUGGGUCUUUGGAGGUGGACACAUCCCUACCAAAAGAAAAACAGACAUCGCAAGCUAAAAACUUCAUACAACAAAAGCGUAAAGCUUUAGCUGAUCUAUUCAAAUACUUGACUAAACUCGGUCUUAACUACCGUACCGGGUUAGUGAUCAUUGCGUCGGGUAAAGAGCUAUAUGAUUUCACUAUACCGCCCGUCGAUUUGGAACCUGCUGUUGGGCAUUUGAAGAGCCGACGAUGCGACACCACUUUGUCUCUGCUCUGGUCUGGUUGCGAGAAGUACUUCCAGAAGAACAUCGCUCGCCACAGGACCCUCACUCAGGCACUGCAGUCUCCACACCAGGACUUGGGCAUGCAGAACAUUGAAAGAGUGAAAGGAUUUGCCGCGCAGUUGUUGAAAAUAACGAACACACAAAAGAAAUCCAUAUCGAAAUAUUCUCGUUACCUCUGUGACCUUCGCAACCUUUCCACAAACCUAAUUGAUGCUCUAGACUUUGACGAUACGGAAACCAACGUAUCUUCACUAAGAUCCAAGAUAGAACUACUCGUAGAAUGCUACGCCAACACUGGCAUUGUCCUAGAACAAUUCAACGCCGUACUCAAAUCUUGUCCCGAAAAAGGCAUAGAUUCAGAAACCGAACCAGAUUUUGACAACGUCCUUUCUGACUCAAAAAUAGUUCGCUGUUACAAAAACACGGACGAAUGGCGCGAUCUAAACAAGAGAAUUAAAGCCCUAAUAACAAACGUUAAUAAACAGAAGAACACGCUACAUAAAAUAUCGAAUGAUAUGCCCAAAGAAAAUGGGCAAGGUAAAGAGAAUCCUUUAGCGUCACAAACUCAUGCUACCAUCGCAAAUGACUGUAAAGUCAAUAUAGAAAAUAUGAUCAACGAUAUUGAUAGUUUGUUGCAAGACUAUCAGUUCAAAUUUAAACUCUCUUCUUUCGAACAUACACCAAGUCACCCUCUACUAAAGAGUAUAAACAAACUAGUAAGUUAUCUGAAGCAAACAGUUCGCGAAUUGGUCAAAUUGGACAAACGCGUUACACCAAAACCGACAAGAGUUACAAGCAACCAACUUGUAACUCAAACAGAAGAUUUGGUAGCAACGAUGCUGCUAAUCGUUCAAUCUGUGUACAAGAAGCAUUUACCACCAGACACCACAGAAAACGCUGAAGUAAUAAACGCUAUAGACGAAAUUAUAAAGAGCGAUAAAGAAGAGUCUAAAGACAUAGUUGAAGACAAACAUUUGAAGGAACAUUUGCAAGACAAACUUAGUAACGAUACCAGAAUGCUGCAAUUGGAGUCUCUUAUUACUAAGACUCAGUUAUUGUAUUCAAACUAUGUGGAACAUCUGGCCAUUAAUAACGUUGAUGAAGAAGUCAGGAUGGCGGUGAUGAGAGUGGUGCCAAUAUUGGAGCAAACUGUGUUGUUUGUCCAAUACUUUGUGACGCAGAAAGUGUCUGUGCACAGAGUAUCGUGCAAGAUGCUGUCUGUGUUGUUGAAGAUCUUCUCGGAUUUGGCUUCGAAAGGUUUCUGCAAGCCUUCAGACCUGGACAUGGAUGAUGCUGAGGGCGAAGGAGGUUCUGGCAAGUUUUCAGGUGGCAUGGGACUUGGGGAAGGAGAGGGACAGAAAGAUGUGUCCGAAAGAAUUGAGAAUCAGGACCAGUUAGAUGAUGCUCGUCAACCGGGAGAAGAGAAAAAAGAAGAGAACAGAGAUUGUAAAGAAGAAGAAAAGGGAGUUAAUAUGACUGAUGACUUUGAUUCUCAUUUACAAGAUGUUGAUAAAAAAGAUGGUGAACAGUCAGACCAAGAGGACGAUGAAGAUGAUGCUGACAAACAAAUGGGUGAUAUUGAUAACGCUGCUGACAAACUUGACCAACAAAUCUGGGGUUCGGAAGACGAAGAAGAAUUAAAUGAAGAAGAACAAGGGAAACAGAAAGAUAAGGAGGAAAAGGGUAAAGGAGAAAGUACGGGAGAGAAAGAGAUGUCAGCUAAAGAUGACCAGGAACAGGGUGCUGAUGAUGGAGCCGAUGGCAAAGAUAAGAAAAAGAAGAAAGAUAUCAAUGAAAUGGAAGAACCAGAGUUGGAUGAUGAUCAGACGGAUCCCUACCACGGUAACCAGCAGCCCCUCCCAGAGCCGGAAGACUUUGAGCUCCCUGAAAACAUGGACGUCGACGGUGAUGAUUUAGGAGAUGAUGAACAGGAGGGAGAAACAGAAACAGAGAAUCCAUUCGACAUUGAUGUGAUGAAGGACAAUAUACCUGAGGAGCCUGAAAAAGAGGAUGAUAAAGGUGAAGAUGGCAAGGACACUAACAACGGACUGAACGUGUCUGAUGAUGAGGAGGACGGAGGAGACCAGGGUGCGGACGAUGAAGGAAAUGAUGAUAAGGAAAAAGACAAAGAAGAAGAUGACAGUGAAAAACCCGCUCCAGAAGAUACACCACAAGAGAACGAAGAUGAUAAAGAAGGCGGUCAAGAAGUAGACCAAGAAGCAGCUGCACCAGAAGAAACGGAGACACCAGAAGUACCAGAAAAUGAAGAAAAGGAUUUGCCAAAGAAUCCUGAGAAGAUUGAUGAAGAAGACGAAGUAGAACAGAAGAAUCAAGAAGCUAAUCCUCAAGCUAAUCCGUCGAAUAAUGACCCGACUGCAGAAGAUAAGGCUGAGAACGCACAAAUGGAGAAAGGAACGGAUGAUAAUGUGGAAACUAAUGCUGAACAGAAUAAGGAGGAUGAAUCUAGUCCCUAUGAACAAGUACAAGAUCAAAAUACCGAAGAGAAACAAUCGACCGGUCGUUCGGAGUUAGACAAGAGUGACAAGGGCCACCGCGGUGAGAAGCAAGCAGCGAGUCGCACCGACCGCGCCGAGGAACAACGCAAGAAACACGAGAACAAACCUGGUCAGACUGAUCAGGAACGGACGCUUGGUGAUGUCAACGAAAAGAAACACAAACAAGCCAAGACCCUGAACGUGGAACGCGAAGACGCUGACGACGGUGGCGCCAACGACGAGGAUGCGGAGAAACAGGCAGACGCGUACCAACACGUGAAGCAAGCCAACAAGGAUGACUUGCAGGCGAUAGACGCUGCGACAAAAGAACAAGCGGACGAGCAGCCAAUGUUAGUAGACGAGGAAGAAAACGCUGAACCUUUGAAGGAAGACGAGGAAGUUCCUAUGGAUAUUGAUGAAGAGGAACUACAGGUGGAGAAAGCAGAAGAAUUGAAGCCAGAGAAGAUGAAAGAAGGAAAUAAAGAGAAGGAAGAUGAUAAGAGUGGGAGUAAGAAUGAGGGAGGGGAGGAGCCUACGGGGGAGACCGGAGUGGAGGUGGAGGGAGAGGUCGUUGUUACUGCACACGUGCCCAGGGGGAUUGAUACUACUUAUCAUACUAGGGUGAACGAAAACCAGAGCUACGCGGACGAUUUGUCAGUAGACGAGUAUAUGAGUAUCCGUCAGUGGCUGGCCAGCGGUCCCGCGCGGGCUCACGGGACGGUCCCCGUGUGGCGCUCUCUGUGGAGAGACUCUGCGGCCGCCGCACGGGCGCUGUGUGAGAGACUGAGGCUUGUGCUCGAGCCUACUGGCAGGUCGAGGAAAGCUGGUGACUUCAGAACGGGUCGCUCAAUCAACAUGCGUCGUGUGAUCCCGUACAUAGCGUCCCACUUCAGGAAGGACCGCAUCUGGCUCCGUCGCACUAAACCAGCUAAACGAGAAUAUAAGAUCGCCAUCGCCGUCGACGAUUCCAGUUCCAUGUCCGAUAAUAGGAGCAAGGAACUCGCUUUUGAAAGUCUUGCACUCGUCUCACAGGCGUUGAACCUCCUCGAAUCCGGUGACUUAGCCGUCCUGAGUUUCGGUGAAAAACCGAACUUACUCCAUCCAUUUACGGAGCAAUUUUCCGAACAUUCCGGCUCGAAGAUUCUAGAACAACUGCGCUUUGAACAAACUAAGACUAAGAUCGCACAACUGCUUGAUUUCUGCACCGUCUUGUUUGAAGAGCAGACGAUGAAGAGUGAUGCUGUUAAUGCCAAGUUGUUGGUGAUCGUCAGUGAUGGUAGGGGCAUAUUCUCUGAGGGAGAGACCAGGGUGCUGCAGGCGGUGCGCCGGGCCAGGCAGCAGGGAAUAUUCUUGGUUUAUGUCAUCAUUGAUAAUCCUGAUAAUAAGGACUCAAUAAUGGACAUCAGGCGGCCACUACUGGACCCAACAACGAACGCUCUCACCGGCUUCGUCUCGUACUUGGACACAUUCCCGUUCCCAUUCUAUUUGAUACUACGCGACAUGUCAGCCUUACCAACAGUACUGGGCGACGCGCUGCGGCAGUGGUUUGAACUGGCCGCUAAUACCGCUAAUUAAACAGUUAGAUAUAAUCAUCAAAACAAUAAAAUCAUCAUAAAUAGCCUGUAAGAGUCCUCUGCUGGACUUUGAGCCUCCUCUACAAAUAGGGGUUUUGUACACAGUCUUAACGGCAAAUUUCAAUAACCCAUUUAUCUGUAGAUUUGGUUACUAGAGAAUUUUUAUUUAAGCUUCAUACAAAUCAAUCAUGAGCAUUUGUUUGAGACAUUUUGUAGAAAUACUUCUAGUAAACAAAUCUACAGAUAGGUAGGUUAUUUAAAAUGGCUAUAAAACGAUCAGGUUUAUCGGAGAACGCUGCUGCCCAGUCUCUAAGUAGUCCUUUAAGGAAAGCGUCCACAGGCUCGUACACUUC